GAUCUCACAGCACUUUUAUGAUCGUUCUCGUUCGGUUUGUUUCGUCUCUCGGAGCUCUUGUUCCGUCCCCGUCAUUCAUCAGUGUGAUAUUACAGGAUUUUCGGUCACAAACACAGCUAAAGUGGAUAUUUCUGCUCCUCAUCGAUUCACAAGAAGACGUUGUGGAGGGAAGUUGAUAUGUGACAGAUCACACCUAGAGUAUCAGACCCUACAGAAGAAGUAAAGUCAUUCAGUGAGAGAUGAACAGCAGAGAAAAACACUACAAAGAGUCAUGGGAGAAAAGCCUAUGGCGCAGAGAAAGCAUGCACCAAAAACCAAACAUUUGUCAGGAUGCAGACGAAUCUGAAGAGUUUUAUUCGGGUGAAUUAGACACAGUCACAGAUGAGGUCACUUCAGUACAUCCAGCUUGUUUUGAGCUUUUCAGCUCCUUCAUCUUUUUCGGUCAUCCAGCAGUCAGUGAUGUCACAGCACGUCUCCCUCUGCUGGAAGCACUUCUAUAGCACAAGAGGACACGUAAAGCAAAACGUCCACCUAAAAAUAAACUGUCAUCAUUUACUCAACCUUAUGUUGUUCCUGUAUGCGUUCCUGUAUGUUCUCCUGAACAUAAAAGUAUUAGAUAUUCUGAAGAAUGUUGGUAACCAGACAGUCUAAAAAAAUAUUAUAUGGAAGUCAAUGGCUACCAGCAACUGCUUGGCGACCAACAUUCCUCUUUUGUGUUCAAUACAGGUUUGGAACAACUUCAGGUUGAGUAAAUAAUGAGAUUUUCUUUCUUUUUGGGGGAACUAUCCCUUCAUUCAGUCAUUAAGUGAAUGAUAGCAGUGUAUUUUACAGUAAAUCUGUGUAAGUUGUCAGUUUACAAAAAAAACAGAACAAUGCAGCAUGACAUGAAUGUUAAAACUCACUUGAUUAUCUACACUGUCCUUUUGCUUUUCUGUCAUGGUGUUUGAUCUGAAAGUGACAGAAAAUAUUUCACCAGCAUUUUGCUCAUCAUUUGCUGCAUUCUGCUCAUUUUAGUUGUUUCAGAAUGAAACUAAAGACAUAUUUGACUGUUCUUUGUAAUAUCGCUGCGAUUGUAAGCUGCUUUAUUCCUUUAGUUUAUUUUUAUAUUUGAAGAGUUCAUUUGCAAAAACAGGUAACUCCAUUUUUAAGUUUUCAAAAAUCAUGUUUUUUCAUUGUGCAUUCCAAUUAAUCUCUAUGCAACAGCAAGUUGGGUUAUUUUGAUUAAGUAAAAAUAACAAAAAAUACAGCUAACAUAAUAAAACACAAUAAUAACAUUAUUAAAAAAACAUUUAUUUUUGAAAAUAAAAAACUGAGUUAUUUGUUUUUGCAAAUAAACUCUUCAUUUUUAUAGUUUUUGUAAAAUAAAAAAACCUCUAUGAGGUGCAUUACAUCUAA